rnacentral:rRNA from 1 species
UAACACGUAGGGGGCGAGCGUUGUCCGGAUUUAUUGGGCGUAAAGAGCUCGUAGGCGGCUUAGUAAGUCGGGUGUGAAAACUCCAGGCUCAACCUGGAGACGCCACCCGAUACUGCUGUGGCUAGAGUCCGGUAGGGGAGCGUGGAAUUCCUGGUGUAGCGGUGAAAUGCGCAGAUAUCAGGAGGAACACCAGCGGCGAAGGCGGCGCUCUGGGCCGGAACUGACGCUGAGGAGCGAAAGCGUGGGUAGCAAACAGGAUUAGAUACCCUGGUAGUCCACGCCGUAAACGUUGGGCACUAGGUGUGGGACGCCGUCAACGCGUUCUGUGCCGUAGCUAACGCAUUAAGUGCCCCGCCUGGGGAGUACGGCCGCAAGGCUA